GACAGAGGGUGCAAACGUUGUUCGGAAUUACUGGGCGUAAAGCGCGUGUAGGCGGCUGCGCAAGUCGGAUGUGAAAUCCCGUGGCUCAACCACGGAAGUGCACCCGAAACUGCGUAGCUGGAGUCUCGGAGAGGAAGGUGGAAUGCUUGGUGUAGAGGUGAAAUUCGUAGAUAUCAAGUGGAACACCAGUGGCGAAGGCGAAUCCCUGGAAAAUACCUGACACUGAGGCACGAAAGCUAGGGGAGCAAACAGG
rnacentral:rRNA from 1 species